GACGAACGCUGGCGGCGUGCUUAACACAUGCAAGUCGAACGGAAAGGCCUCUUUCGGGGGGUACUCGAGUGGCGAACGGGUGAGUAACACGUGAGUAACCUGCCCUUGACUUUGGGAUAACUUCAGGAAACUGGGGCUAAUACCGGAUAGGAGCUCCUGCUGCAUGGUGGGGGUUGGAAAGUUUCGGCGGGUGGGGAUGGACUCGCGGCUUAUCAGCUUGUUGGUGGGGUAGUGGCUUACCAAGGCUUUGACGGGUAGCCGGCCUGAGAGGGGGACCGGCCACAUUGGGACUGAGAUACGGCCCAGACUCCUACGGGAGGCAGCAGGGGGGAAUAUUGCACAAUGGGUGGGAGCCUGAUGCAGCAACGCCGUGUGCGGGAUGACGGCCUUCGGGUUGUAAACCGCUUUCGCUCAUGACGAAGCUUUGUGUGACGGUAGUGGGUAAAGAAGCACCGGCUAACUACGUG
rnacentral:rRNA from 1 species